ensembl:lncRNA
GCUGAUAGGUCCUCUCCUCCACCUCUUCCUGGGGAGAUGCCUCCCUGGGCCACACCCAGCCCCCCAAGGCCAAGGUAAACCAGCUCCCCAGCUGUGAUGGGGUGCAGGGGCAGGCUGAGCCCAGCACGGAGAAGGGGCCAUUCCCAUGAAAUGUCUACAACAGGCUAACCCAUCAAGGCAGAACACAGAUCUCAAGCUCUAGGACAGCAUCGAGAAAUCUUCCAGAGCCACCUUUGAACACAGAGUGCAGGGUAGGAGGUCAACAAGCACAACAGAACCCAGGGAAGACAGAAAUGAAUCCCAACACAGAAUGCAGCAGCCAACUACAAAUGAAGAUGUGAUCACAACCAAACUCUCCAGCAAUGCAGGAAUUC